rnacentral:rRNA from 1 species
GACGAACCGUGCGAACGUUGUUCGGAAUCACUGGGCUUAAAGGGCGCGUAGGCGGGUGUGCAAGUCUGUGGUGAAAGCCUCCAGCUUAACUGGAGAAGUGCCAUGGAUACUGCACAUCUUGAGGAGGGUAGGGGCAUCUGGAACGGUCGGUGGAGCGGUGAAAUGCGUUGAGAUCGGAUGGAACGCCCGUGGCGAAAGCGAGGUCCUGGACGUUUUCUGACGCUGAGACGCGAAAGCCAGGGGAGCGAACGGG